UUCACUUCUGUUUUGUUUUCAUUUGAGAUUCCUACAUUGGGUACAGUUUUUGUCUGGAAAUAACGGAAAUUCCCGGUUUUCUGAGUGAUCCGCAGACAUUUUACUGUGCGAAUAUCGAUGGCCAAAUUAUUCAGGUUACUCCAUAACAGCACGAUUGAUCCAAUGUGCCAACGAAUCGAUGAUAUGUGAAUGGAAUCCGCCGGAAGAUAAGUGCAUUAGUGUAGUCGCGUGAAAUUCAUGUUAGCUUGCGUGUGUAACUGCAUGCGACAUUCAUUAUAUCGAAAUUGAAGCAGGCAAGUCGGAGCACAAGAGCACUGUCACAUUCAGUCUUGAACGAAAGCUCCAGCCGUUCGGAACCAUUCGGCAGCGGUUUUUUCAAAUGUCAACCUGAAGGAAGUAAAUCAUAUGUGCUCACUUAAUGCCGGAGCGUAUCAGGACAGUUUGGCUCUUGCAACCGAAUAUUCAAUUAUUCUUGGUACAAUUAAUGAAAUUCAAAAGUUACACAUUCGAACGGUACAAAUGGGACCAGGAAGCUUCUCAAUAGUUUGGUGUUAUAACGGGGCGAAUGGAUCUUCAGGACUCGAGUGGUCUGACUCCUUCGAGACAGAGCGCGUCAACUCAGACGACAAAUGUAACUUACUCGAGCAACAUGGCACUGCUUAAGCCAGGAGCCAGUAGUGCCGAGUUUGGUCAAGAAGUUGAAAUUCACAAUCUACUUAUCAUCGAUCAGAAUACGUUCGAGUUGCUACAUGCACAUCAAUUCAUGCAAACGGAGUAUACUAUGUCACUGAUUCCGGCGAAGUUGGGUAACGACUCGAAUACUUAUUGCAUCGUCGGAACAGCACUGGUACAUCAAGCGGAACCGGAACCCAAAGUAGGAAGGAUUAUCAUCUAUCACUACGCGGAUGGAGCCCUCACUCAAGUUAGCGAGAAGGGAAUCAAGGGAGCGUGCUAUUCUCUCAUUGAGUUUAACCGUCGUGUAUUAGCUAGCAUCAAUUCAACUGUACGAUUGUAUGAGUGGACUGAUGAUAAGAAUUUGCGACUUGAAUGUAACCAUUUCAAUAACGUGUUGGCAUAUAAAACCAAGGAUAAACAAGAUUAAUGCAAUCACUUGGAUUCCUCAGAGUAAUGUUUUUUUUGCAGGCGACUUCAUUUUGGUAGGUGAUUUGAUGCGAUCUGUCACGCUGGAGGUAAUUUUGAGGAGAUCGCUCGCGACUAUUAACCAAAUUGGAUGACAGUGAUUUCCUCGGGCGGAUAACAGAACAAUUUAUUUGUUUGCCUAAAAGAUGGCUAAGGCCGCAGCAACGGACGACGAACGAUAGCAAGUACCAAAGGUUGCUCAAUGCGAUCUCGGUGAUAUGGUGAAUGUAUUCCGCCACGGUUCGCUCGUGAUGCAAAACUUUGGUGAGCGAACGACGGCGACAACGGGUUGUGUGCUAUUUGGCAUAGUCAGCGAUGCAAUUGGGAAAUGUGACUGACACAAUCAAAUCUGUUGAAAAUUGCAGAUCGACGUGGAUGGAACUAAGAAGGAAGCGGCCGUACAUGAUAUAAUCAAGAUUAUAGAAGACCUAACAUGGAUACAUUAGGAUGUCUAGUGUUGAUCAUUAUUAUUGAAUGGAUGCUAUCAGUUGUUUUCUGGUUGACAAAACGAGAAGUUACAUUUUUUUCUAAAAAAGUUGAUUAAUAAAUCAACUCAUUCAAAGAGAGAUGUUCGAACUGGCUGCUGGACGAAGAUCGAGCAAGCUCAUGAAUUUCAGCAAUGGUCGCGAAAAAUAAUUUCAUGUUUGUAGGGUAAUAAAGAAAUUUCAGUGAACGUAUUGUUUACUACACAUUAUUUUAAUUCGAAUAGUCAUGAAUAUUGUAUUGGAGGAAUAUUAAAAUAUGU